UUCCCCAGAUGUCAUUAAAUUGGCCCAGUUUGGUUCAAUAUGGGAAGGACUUCAGAUUCAGAGGAAGCCACAGUAGUUCAUAGCUAAGGAGACUGUUCACAGAGCUCUGUGUCCAAGCAGAUCAAAAGAAAUUCCAAUGGAAAGAAAAAAUGUGGCAGGAGAUGCACCAGCAGAAGAGAUGAAUAUGGGCUUCAGCGGAUUGUUAAGAUUCAAGAACCUGACAGACAUGAAGAAAGAGUGAUAUGAGGUGUAAAUGGAAAGCUUUAAUGUUGUGGAACAGGAAUCCGUAUCAGACGACAGCCUGACGAGGUUCAUCAUUUGCAGUUCUCCUUUGGUGUUGGUCACAAGUUCGUGUCACUUCCUCUGGUUAUUAGCACGUGCAGAGCUGUGUCUUCAUCAAGCGUCACUGCAAGUCUGGAUGCUUUUCUCAAAGACAUACAUUUAUUGUAUAUUUGUUUUGUAGCAAAAUUCUGAGAUCUGAGGCAGUGAGCUGAAGAAUCAGGGGGAUGAUGGAUUUAUCAAAGAUAAUGCAGAGGAUUCCUGAUGAAUGAUAUCAACUUUACAAAUUCUCAUUUUAGCAUUUGCCAUCCAAUAUUGUUGAAUUGUCACUAAACUGUAAUUUAUUUUAACUUUGUCUGAAAACAAUUUCUCUUAUAUAAAGGAAAAAAAUGCCAAUAGA